rnacentral:tRNA from 1 species
GAGGGGAUAGCUCAGUGGUAGAGUGCAUGCUUAGCAUGCAUGAGGUCCUGGGUUCAAUCCCCAGUCCCUCCA